AGCGAACGCUGGCGGCAGGCUUAACACAUGCAAGUCGAGCGGGCAUCCUUGUGGUGUCAGCGGCAGACGGGUGAGUAACGCGUGGGAACGUGCCCUUCGGUUCGAACUAACUCAGGGUAACUUGAGCUAAUACCGGAUACGUGCGAGAGCAGAAAGGUUUAUCUGCCUAAGGAUCGGCGCGCGUCUGAUUAGCUAGUUGGUGGGGUUAUGGCUCACCAAGGCGACGACCAGUAGCUGGUCUGAGAGGAUGCUCAGCCACACUGGGACUGAGACACGGCCCAGACUCCUACGGGAGGCAGCAGUGGGGAAUAAUGGACAAUGGGGGCAACCCUGAUGCAGCCAUGCCGGGUGAGUGAUGAUGGCGUUAGGGUUGUAAAGCUGUUUUCUCCGGGACGAUAAUGACGGUACCGGAGGAAUAAGCCCCGGCUAACUACGUG
rnacentral:rRNA from 1 species